rnacentral:piRNA from 1 species
GUCUCUCCGGAGGCGUGGGUUCG